CAAUUUUUCAUCUGACACACGCAACCCAUUUCUUUCUCUAUCAUCCUUUCACAACUGUUUCUUUCUUGAAUUUGCUCCAUUUUUCAAGAUAUUUACCUUCCCCAAUUCUCCUUUCUUCCUUCAUCCGAUUCUGGUAUGAAAAUGUUAUGAUAUGCGUAAAGUCCAUUUCUUUUAUGCUUAAGACUAAUGGGUUAGAUUUUUCUUUUUAGGGUUAUUACUGGAAAGACAAUUUUUUUUUUCUUUUAUGCUCACUGCCUCUUCAUCGUCGCCUCUGGUGAUUGAAGAAGGAAAGUAUCGCUGCAAAGAUGAAUGGGUUUAUUGCUGAAGUGAAACUAGCAUUGACCGUCUCUUGUAUGUUUGGAUUCUACUGUGAGUUCCUUUUAAACUUCAACAACAUCAAUCCACAAUUUUAUGAGUUAGUCCUGAUUUAGAACAAUGAUUAAAUGCCUCAAGCCGAUAUGUAUUGGUCAGAAAUCUAUAUUUCUAGCUUCUAGGGUCCAUCUGGGCAUCUAUUUUCUUUUCAUUCCGUCCAUUCUUCAAAUGAUUUCAGUUGUUUAAAUAAGAGCAUUUAAAAAUCAAAACCCUAAAGAUUUUGAUCCGUCAAAAUGGCACUUUUUUCAGAAAAUUAUAAUGGGUUUCGAGAAGAACUGUGAAAAUUGUUGCGACUCCUUGAUGAAUUUAUGUUUUUGGAAGUGGACCUGCUGGCUUCUACAUUGUUGAAAAUGUAUGUUUUUUUGUAAAGGUGUGUUUUUCUGUACCUUUUUUUUUUUUUUUUCUGUCAAUUGAAUUUUUGUUCAUCAGUUUUGAUAUAUAUUAAUACGUGGCAUUUUAAAACCUACCCGAGUUCUUAUAAGGUUGAUAACAUUACAGAAAUUAUGUUUCCUCUUUUUCAUGAUGCAAACAUCUUUAAAGAUUCAUAUUAAUUUAAUGAACCGUUCAACUUACAUCCAUAUCCCUACAAUAUAAAAGAGUAAAUCCUAAAGUUGCUUUUCGUUUAACAGUGUUAAAUCCUUUUCAUUUUAUUUAUUUAUUAUUAUUAUUUUUUGCUUCUGGUGAAAAAAAUGACGUUGUUUUAUGUAAGUCUUGUACUAACAAAGUCAUUCUCUCUAUCUCUAUGCUGAUUUUCUUUCUUUAUUUAGAUCCUUUUUUUUUGCCCUUUGAUUGAUAGUCUUUUAAAUCUUUUUCUAUGUACUUUGGUUAUUUUUUUGAUAUCUACAUUUGAAUUUUUUGGAUUUGGCCUUGUAUUUUUGCGUUUCCGUGAUGUAUUGCUAUUUAUCUGAGAUUUGUUCAUUUUAUUAUAGAAGGCAAAGGCGCUACCGAAGAGAUUGCGAGGGACGUAGCGGUGGUGAUGGCAGAGAAGAAGAAUGCUGAUUCUGCACUAUGUCGCUCACAAUAUAAGUUUUGGAGGGAAGAUGGGUAGCAUGUUGCACAGUGGAGAUUGUCUUUAAGAAGCUGAAGAGUGAAUUGGAUCUUAAAAUGGUACAUCAAUAUACACUUUAAUCUCCACCCUUUUCUGGGUGAGAUAACUGCGAAAUAUUGGUGUUUGUGUUGGAAUAUGUGAAAAAUAUUACAUUCCAAAUGAACACUGACUUACUUAUCCCUAUUUUUGGAAGAAGAAAAAGAGAAAAAGGUG
rnacentral:lncRNA from 1 species